AGCGGCAAAAGCUCAAAUUUGAAAUCUGGUACCUUCGGUGCCCGAGUUGUAAUUUGGAGAGGGCAACUUUGGGGCCGUUCCUUGUCUAUGUUCCUUGGAACAGGACGUCAUAGAGGGUGAGAAUCCCGUGUGGCGAGGAGUGCGGUUCUUUGUAAAGUGCCUUCGAAGAGUCGAGUUGUUUGGGAAUGCAGCUCUAAGUGGGUGGUAAAUUCCAUCUAAAGCUAAAUAUUGGCGAGAGACCGAUAGCGAACAAGUACAGUGAUGGAAAGAUGAAAAGAACUUUGAAAAGAGAGUGAAAAAGUACGUGAAAUUGUUGAAAGGGAAGGGCAUUUGAUCAGACAUGGUGUUUUGUGCCCUCUGCUCCUUGUGGGUAGGGGAAUCUCGCAUUUCACUGGGCCAGCAUCAGUUUUGGUGGCAGGAUAAAUCCAUAGGAAUGUAGCUUGCCUCGGUAAGUAUUAUAGCCUGUGGGAAUACUGCCAGCUGGGACUGAGGACUGCGACGUAAGUCAAGGAUGCUGGCAUAAUGGUUAUAUGCCGCCCGUCUUGAA
rnacentral:rRNA from 1 species